rnacentral:rRNA from 1 species
AGUGAACGCUGGCGGUAGGCCUAACACAUGCAAGUCGAACGGCAGCACAGUAAGAGCUUGCUCUUACGGGUGGCGAGUGGCGGACGGGUGAGGAAUACAUCGGAAUCUACUUUUUCGUGGGGGAUAACGUAGGGAAACUUACGCUAAUACCGCAUACGACCUACGGGUGAAAGCAGGGGAUCUUCGGACCUUGCGCGAUUGAAUGACCCGAUGUCGGAUUAGCUAGUUGGCGGGGUAAAGGCCCACCAAGGCGACGAUCCGUAGCUGGUCUGAGAGGAUGAUCAGCCACACUGGAACUGAGACACGGUCCAGACUCCUACGGGAGGCAGCAGUGGGGAAUAUUGGACAAUGGGCGCAAGCCUGAUCCAGCCAUACCGCGUGGGUGAAGAAGGCCUUCGGGUUGUAAAGCCCUUUUGUUGGGAAAGAAAAGCAGCAGGUUAAUACCCCGCUGUUCUGACGGUACCCAAAGAAUAAGCACCGGCUAACUUCGUG